UACAGAGGGGGCAAGCGUUGCUCGGAAUCACUGGGCGUAAAGGGCGCGUAGGCGGGAUGGCAAGUCGGUCGUGAAAUCCUUCGGCUCAACCGAAGAACGUCGGCCGAUACUGCCGUUCUUGAGGGAUGCAGAGGAGAUUGGAAUUCCCGGUGUAGCGGUGAAAUGUGUAGAGAUGUGGAGGAACACCGAUGGCGAAGGCAGCCCCCUGGGUCAAGAUUGACGCUCAUGCACGAAAGCGUGGGGAGCAAACAGG
rnacentral:rRNA from 1 species